rnacentral:rRNA from 1 species
CAGGAGCCGAUACAGGUGCUGCAUGGCUGUCGUCAGCUCGUGCCGUGAGGUGUUGGUUAAGUCCCCCAACGAGCGUAACCCCUGUUGCUAGUACCUUUUCUGGCGAGACUGCCCUGUAAAACGGGGAGGAAGGUGGGGAUGACGUCAAGUCAGCAUGGCCCUUACGCCUUGGGCUACACACACGCUACAAUGGGUGGUACAAUGGGUUGCAAUAGAGCGAUCUGGAGCUAAUCCUUCAAAGCCAUCCUCAGUUCGGAUUGCAGGCUGAAACCCGCCUGCAUGAAGCUGGAGUUGCUAGUAACCGUAGGUCAGCACACUACGGUGAAUACGUUCUCGGGCCUU